GGAGACUAGGGUCCCCACCGACCCCGCGCACCCCAAACUCCGAGCGACCCAGCCCUCUCCCGCAUAGCAGACAAGUGAGCGCUGAGACCCUGAUGAGGUUCAUGAGGAGGCAGCUCAGGUCUCCACCACGAAGUCCACCAGAAUUUCUCCCCAGGUCACACUCGGCGAUGCACAGGGGUUACUCCUGGCUCUGCACUCAGGAAUCACCCCUGGCAGUGCUCAGAGGACCGUAUGGGAUGCUGGGAAUCGAACCCGG